AUGUAUCUAGUUUCACAAGUCAAUGGUAUAACAAUAAAUUGAAAAUCCAACGGACGAAACUUCGAAUAUCAUUGAAUUGUCCUGCUAUUCAAAAGACAACGGUGUCGAGCAUUGUUCCGAGAGUCUGGACUAUGUUUGACGACAUAAGGUCGGAUACAUACUCUUCCAAAUGCUUCUUUGCGUCUUGCCUCCCAACAUUUGCGAUCGCCAGCUUCUCCGGUGGCAGUUCGUCCUCCUCCUGGACCGCUUUGUUGUAUUUGAUGGCAAGAGUCAACAUCUCCUGUACAGUCUGCUCAUUAGUUUUGGAGUGAACGUCGAACCGACGCAAUGUCAAUCCAUCUGUCCACUUCUUCUUGUGUAGGUUCAGCAGCAUCUUCUCCUCCAGCUCAUUUUUCCGAUAGUUAAUGGCUAUUGAAUAGUAGUGGCGAUUCAGCCCAUGGAUCAAUGCCUGA
rnacentral:misc_RNA from 1 species